CCUACGGGGGGCAGCAGUGAGGAAUAUUGGUCAAUGGGCGAGAGCCUGAACCAGCCAAGUCGCGUGAGGGAGUACUGCCCUAUGGGUUGUAAACCUCUUUUGUCGGGGAGCAAAAGCCGGACGUGUCCGGCUGUGAGAGUACCCGAAGAAAAAGCAUCGGCUAACUCCGUGCCAGCAGCCGCGGUAAUACGGAGGAUGCGAGCGGUAUCCGGAUUUAUUGGGUUUAAAGGGUGCGCAGGCGGAUUUUUAAGUCAGCGGUAAAAUCGUGGGGCUCAACCCCAUCCAGCCGUUGAAACUGGGGAUCUAGAGUGUGCGAGAGGUAUGCGGAAUGCGUGGUGUAGCGGUGAAAUGCAUAGAUAUCACGCAGAACCCCGAUUGCGAAGGCAGCAUACCGGUGCACAACUGACGCUCAGGCACGAAAGCGUGGGUAUCGAACAGGAUUAGAUACCCCUGUAGUC
rnacentral:rRNA from 1 species